UACGUAGGGUGCGAGCGUUGUCCGGAAUUAUUGGGCGUAAAGGGCUCGUAGGCGGCUAUUCAAGUCUGGGGUGAAAGCCCGGGGCUCAACCCCGGAACUGCCCUCGAAACUAGAUAGCUAGAAUCUUGGAGAGGCGAGUGGAAUUCCGAGUGUAGAGGUGAAAUUCGUAGAUAUUCGGAAGAACACCAGUGGCGAAGGCGACUCGCUGGACAAGUAUUGACGCUGAGGUGCGAAAGCGUGGGGAGCAAACAGG
rnacentral:rRNA from 1 species